AUGGAGAUGUUACAGCAACAGAAGCUCCAGCUGCCUGUGACCCGUGGAGAUGUAAAACCUCAGAACGUGGAAGUAUCGCUGCAGCCAGCCUGUCUGUGUCUGUGUCCCAGCAGCAGCACGAGGAUGCCUUUGGAUGCCUGGCACAGCUGGGAUGCUGGGAAGGCUCACGAUGUCCAUUAUUUCCAGCCCCUGACCUGGGACAUUCGGACCUCCCUUGGUAUUUCAGAUGACCACAUCUUGCUAAGUUUGAUUUCUUCAGUCCUCAGACAGAUCUGCAUGAGUGAGCGACAGGAUGUGAUUCAGUCACAGGAACUGAAUUUUUCCAGAGCUUCAGAUAUUCAGGCCAUGUCUGUUGGUGUCACCAACCAGCAGCACAGGCAAGGGAUACCAGAAGAUAAAGUAUUGCCACCUCUCACUGUGGACAUUUAUGAGAGAGCAGAUUUUCAACGUGAAAACCCUCUGUGGUACAGACCAGCUUUUCUCAACAGCUUUGUCAGUAGUGCCUGCUGCUCAUGCUAGGGUUUGCACUCUGUCAGUAAUGGGGGGAAACAGUGACACACACUUUACUUCUUUGCCUACAGCAAGUGGAAAAUACUUAUAUUUAGCACAGUAAAAAUCAUCUGUCUGCUGAGCACAGAUUUCAGAAAUUACAUCACAAAAUAACAAAUUUUCCACGGGGAGAGAGGGCACCACACUUUUACAUCUCCCCUUUUUGGUUCUGAUGCUAUUAUAUGAAGAAAGGUCUCCACAAACCAGCUGUAGGAUAUGAGAGCAUGAUGCUGACAUGCUCUCCUCAGCUUUAGUCUUCACCUGCAAUCUAAACCCAGACACUCAGCACAACAACAGUAACUUCUUCAAGGCUUUAGUAAAUUUACAAGUGCCAGGUACUUGCAGGGGCAUUUGAAUAUUUUACAAACUUCUUUACGUAACUCUUUCUACACUGAGAACUCACCAAUUGCCCCCCACACUCUUGGCACUCCCACAAGUAAUUCCUUGGAAGAGCUGAAGUUAAUGAGUGUCCAAAGAGAUGGGGGGGAAAUGCAGCACUUGCAACAAGUUGCUGCUGUUCCCCAUCCCUCCGUGGCUCUGCUCUAGAUCCGCUUUUGACACAGCCUGGCAAACCCCGAGUGGGAAAUGCUGCUUUGGGAGAAGGAGGAACUGUCACAGCAAUUGCAUGGAGAAUGCCGAGAAUCUAAGUAAGGCAAGCUGGAGUGGAAUGGGAAUUUGGAAAACGUGUAUCUACAAACUGGGGUGAGCCCAAAAGUUCCCAAAAUUAAAUACUGGACAAUUUUUUUCCUAUAGUUAAUGAAAGAUCAUGACAGCAAUACAGAGGCCUAUGAAAAAAGAGAAGACAUUUCUCCAGACCUCAUAUUUGUUAACAAGAGCAUUAACACAACAGAGCCAGUCUUACAUGAUUAAAUUAUCACUUGAUGAUAAUUUAUAACACUGGCCUAAGAAAAGUACAGAGAAGCUACUAAAAUUAUAUUGCAAUAAGAAAUAUACAUUUUACCAAAAAUUC
rnacentral:lncRNA from 1 species